rnacentral:lncRNA from 1 species
CUUUAAUUAAGAUGAAAGGGUUUCCUAGUAUCUGCUUCCUCAACAAUCUUAUGUUUAAAGAUGUGUGUUGAGCUCAGCAUGAAGGAACUAGUCCAUGCAGCUCAUUAUUCACUUCUAUAAGGGCCUACUUUGGGAGCUCUUUGUAAAGCUCUAGUGUUCACUCCCAAUUUUCUCUCCAUCUGUACCUUCCUCUAGGCUUUUGUUACAUUCCCGGGAAAUCUGUCGACCCCUGUAUUGCAAAGCAAUACCUUACAGUGGAGAUAUCCCCUUCUAAUUGAAGGAAGAAGUCAGCAACAGCAGGGACAGUCACCUUUCUCCAGGAGCUGCAGCUAUGUGUUGGAAAGCAGGUAAACAUCCUUCCAUUUUCUUCUGUGUUUUAAAACCAUGGUUGGAUAUCUCAAGGAGCUUUGUUAGAAACAGAAGCUCAAGGCGUAUCUCUGCAGCAUCCAGAAUAGCACGUGCGUGGAUGUCACCGUCCCAGAUGAGCACAUCAUUGGCCUCACAACUUCCUGGAUAAUGACACAGCAAUGGCAUGCCUUACCCCAGCCUUAAUUUUUAAUCUCUAAGAAGAAUUAUGGUAGCAUAUACAGGUAUUUCAUAGUAAGAGGAUAAAGUUUGAUAAUAUGUUUAAU